UUGAGACUCCCUUCGAACAUUGUUAUGUUCAGAUUUAUUGAACAAACAAACAGGGGGACAGCCGUCAGGGACGUAUUUACUUUGAAGACCUAGGUGAGGAUGAACCAAAGGCAAGUGAGCGCUCAGGAAAUAUCAGUGCAGGAGCAGUGAGGGUUGGAAGUCCAAGGAUGCACCCUGGGGACAAUGUGGAGUCAAGGAAGCGAUUUCAGGGGAGUCUCAAUGAAUCACUGACCUGGUAGAGACUUGUUUCCGGAGCCCACUUCACGGACGCAGGAAUUGUGUAGGGUGUGAAGUGGUUGGCAGCACCCCCCAGCUUCCCUCUGUGAUUUCUUCUCCAAGGAAGACUAAAACAGCUGCUGCAUCUCCAGCGCUGGGGUGGCGCCACUGCAAGCAAGGGGGGCAUUCAAGGCAGUUCCCUGCCCUUAAGAAACUUACGCUCUAUGGAGAACCCAAAGCAUAUAUUUGAAGUACUUGGAAAUAAUUACAAGACACCGAGACAUCUGAGGAACAGAUAGGGGAGCUGAUGCUUGCAGGUUCACACAGCAAGGCAACGUGGAGCUACUAGGUUGUCAUUGGAAUUUAAGCUAUCUGAUGAGUUGGUGAAGAGACUGUGAUCACAGGGAAAGAAAAAGACGGAGCAUACAGGACUAGGCAGCCCAUCGCUGUGCUCCAGAUAUGAGGGAGUGAAGCAAAGGUGUUUGGAAAAGCCAAAUGAAGGCUCACCUGACUCAGA